UUUAGUCUUACUAUAAUUUAUUAAUAAUGUAUUCAUUUUGACAAUCAUAUCCAUCCACGGCAUGUUGUCUAUCCCAAUUCUCUAGAGCACCUGUGAUUGGAUUAUGUUUUUGUUGAGCAGUUAUUAAUCAAUCGAACUAAAGAUAUUGGACAUUUGGAGAAUAUAGGCUUAUGUAAUUUCUAGAAUUGAUUCUAACUCAAAUUGUAUGAUGUCCAUCCCUUCUUAGACCAUUGAAAUGUUAUUAUUUACAUGGCAGAACUGUAUUUAUUGUGUAUAGGCCUGGUGGUCAUUGACAUAUUUUCCAGUAACUGCCGUGAUUGCUGCAGACAGCACAGAACGGGCCCUUUUCCUGUCUAACCAUUCAGACGAGUUCCAGUCUCAAAUUCAGUCAGUGUUCCAAAAACAAGCAUACAGCAGAUAUCACAAAGUGCUAUUCAGAAACCCAGCCUAAAACCCCAAACAGCAAGCAAUGCAGAUGUAGCAGUAUAGUGGCUAGGAAAAACUCCCUAGAAAGGCAGGAACCUAAGAAGACGCCUAGAAAGGAACCAUGAUCACAUGCAUAGAUUGAUGGUGGCAUCAUGUUCACCUGUUGCCGACCUCUUGAUGGACUCAGCCACUCUUAUGUGCUCUUUUGUUCCUGGUACUACAGAGUGUCUGUUUCUCUUUGACACCCUAAAGGCUGCUUAUUCAUUCACAUGCAUUGGCAACACGCUGGACCACUUGUCUCAUCCCGUUGCAUACACGUGUUUCAGUGUGAGAACCAGCGACCACCAGACAAUCCAUGUCACUGUUGUUAUCCUGACUGAGAGUCUGAGACACCACACUGGAUCAGGGAAAAGGGAAGGUCACACUUAAGUGAUCCAGAUGAGUCCUUUUGUUUAGGUCCAGUCACAUCUCAGUGGACUAAGACGUUCCAGUCCUUGUCCUGCCCGCAUAAACACUCAGUAAAAGGCCUGCCUGCCCAGAGCUUCCAGUGAACUCCCUCCUCUCUAUUCUGUCCCAGGUUUAGGCCUGUGUGCUGCUAAUUCAAUAAGUGUUUAUUUGUCACAUUCAGGAAAGCAAUAAACGCCUCAUUGUUUCAUUUUGUCUUCAUUUAUUCAAUUGC
ensembl:lncRNA